AUAUCAAUAAGCGGAGGAAAAGAAACCAACAGGGAUUGCCCCAGUAACGGCGAGUGAAGCGGCAACAGCUCAAAUUUGAAAUCUGGCCCCUGGGCCCGAGUUGUAAUUUGCAGAGGAUGCUUCUGGCGCGGCGCCUUCCGAGUCCCCUGGAAUGGGGCGCCAUAGAGGGUGAGAGCCCCGUAUGGUUGGACGCUAAGCCUGUGUGAAGCUCCUUCGACGAGUCGAGUAGUUUGGGAAUGCUGCUCAAAAUGGGAGGUAAAUUUCUUCUAAAGCUAAAUACCGGCCAGAGACCGAUAGCGCACAAGUA
rnacentral:rRNA from 1 species